rnacentral:rRNA from 1 species
UGAAUACGAGACGCUAAGGCGUUGAAGUAGUGUAUGUCAUACUUCCAAGAAAAGCUUGCACUGUCAUAGAUAAAAAACGCCUGUACCAUAACCGACACAGGUGGGUAGGUAGAGUAUACUAAGGGGCGCGAGAUAACUCUCUCUAAGGAACUCGGCAAAAUAACUCCGUAACUUCGGGAGAAGGAGUGCCUUAUUUAUAAGGCUGCAAUAACAAGAUCCAAGCAACUGUUUAUCAAAACACAGGUCUCCGCUAAGUCGUAAGACGAUGUAUGGGGGCUGACGCCUGCCCAGUGCCAGAAGGUUAAAGAAGUUGGUUAGCAAUAGCGAAGCUGAUAACUGAAGCCCUGGUGAACGGCGGCCGUAACAAUAACGGUCCUAAGGUAGCGAAAUUCCUUGUCGGGUAAGUUCCGACCCGCACGAAAGGCGUAAUGAUUUGGAUACUGUCUCGGAGAGGGGCUCGGUGAAAUAGACUUGUCUGUGAAGAUGCGGACUACCUGCACCAGGACAGAAAGACCCUAUGAAGUUUUACUAUAACUUGAAAUUGAAAUUGGACUUUAUUCGCGCAGUAUAGGUGGGAGGCGUUGAUUGUAAUCUUGCGGGAUUAUUGGAGCCAUCAGUGAGAUACCACCCUUGUAAUGUUAGAUUUCUAACUUUGAAUCAUUAUCUGGUCAAAGAACAGUUUCAGGCGGGCAGUUUGACUGGGGCGGUCGCCUCCUAAACGGUAACGGAGGCGUACAAAGGUUUCCUCUGAACGGUUAGAAAUCGUAUCUAGAGUGUAAAGGCAUAAGGAAGCUUGACUGUGAGACCUACAAGUCGAGCAGGGACGAAAGUCGGUCUUAGUGAUCUGACGGUACUGAGUGGAAAGGCCGUCACUCAACGGAUAAAAGUUACUCUAGGAUAACAGGCUGAUCUCCCCCAAGAGUUCACAUCGACGGGGAGGUUUGGCACCUCGAUGUCGGCUCAUCGCAUCCUGGGGCGGUAGUACGUCCCAAGGGUUGGGCUGUUCGCCCAUGAAAGCGGUACGCGAGCUGGGUUCAGAACGUCGUGAGACAGUUCGGUCCAUAUCCGGUGUAGGCGUUAGAAUAUUGAGAGGAGCCUUCUUUAGUACGAGAGGACCGAGAAGGACAUACCUCUGGUGUACCAGUUAUCGUGCCAACGGUAAACGCUGGGUAGCUAUGUAUGGAGUGGAUAACCGCUGAAAGCAUCUAAGUGGGAAGCCCACCUCAAGAUAAGUAUUCCC